rnacentral:misc_RNA from 1 species
CAGCUCCGCUUUUAUGUCUUUCUGUUCGCCUUUCCCUCUCCAUCCCCGUUUCUCUCUCUCUCCUUUUUGUUCUUCGUUAGCUCUACCCGUUCCGUCCUCUCCCGCGUUGCGGCUCGUGUUGUUCGAAUUGGCGUCGUCGUGAGUGUCUCCCAUCUCACCCGCUCCAGCAUCGCUCGUGGAGCUCCGCGCGUUCUUGUGUUAUUGCUGUUUGCUUUCCGCGUGGCCCUUGUGCGAUCGCUUCCUCGCGAAUAGCCGCCGCGCCCUUCCUCCACUCGCGUGGUCAAACCUUGCGUGAGUACCGAAAACGAUACACGUAUAUAAAGACGUAACAAGCGAAAGCAGCCUACUUACUCCGUCACCCCUCCCCCUCAGCCAGCCAGCCAGCCACAAACACUCUUACACACAGACACACACAGAGAGAGCGCGAGACGUACGUAACGUAACCUACGCCCACCCUCGACUGUGAUACGUUGAAGGCGAGAACACUCGCACGCAAUAUAAGGCAGAUACGGCAACUGAGCCCCCCCCCUCCCCUCGUCCCACACACGCACACACAAACCGACGGACAGCGUUCCAGUCAAGGCCGGCUACACACGGAGAACGAAGACGGACGGAGAGGUGCAACGCCAAGGAAACAAAACACACACAAGCAAAAAAAGAGAACGUAUUUAUUAUAGGUGGUUCCUUUAUUGUGUUGUGUUUUGUUGUGUUUUGUCUAUCCUCCUCCUUCGCCUGUGUGCUGCUUUAGAAAAGGACCACCACACGCAGACCACCAUCACCACCACCAUAAACGGGUCAGGGAAAAAAACACACAAAAACGAAAUAUAAAAAUAUCCAAAAAAAAAAAGGAAAAACGUUUUUUCUCGUGUGUUGUUUUUAGAUUUUGUUUGUGUGUGUGUGUGUGUGUGUUGUUUGCGCCCAGCUGCGGUCGGGACGUCACUUUCAUUUUUUUAUUAUUUUUUGAUUUGUUGUUGGGGGUUGUUUAUAUCACGCGCACGCACAAGGAGACAUCCUUUCACCAUCCCUCUCUCCCUAUAUAUAUAUAUAUACGUACGUAUAUGUAAACGUGACGAAGCCGAGAAGGUAACGCAGCUGCACGUUAAAGAAAAAACACACAAACACUCCACACGUUGCGACACAUAUGUGCAUGCCCUACUAAGACAAAAACAAGACCACCUCCCCACCCAGACACCCACCCCCACCCAUCGGAGAGGCAGUCUUGUGGCAUGAGCGGUGUGUUUUCUUCUGAGCAUCAUCCUUCGCUUCCUCUCAAUCUCGCAGCAUCCCUCUCUUUGUAAAGGGCCUACGGAACGAGUGCGUUACUUACGGGAAAACGAAAGGAAAAGGAGUCGAAGCAGUCGCCUGCCCAGGAAUCAUCGCUCUCUGUCGCACUGUGUCUGCUUGCUCUCAUUGUCUGCCCAUCCACCCUCCCCUUUCUUUUCGUGUGCUUGUCCCGCAUCUGUCUGUCCGUCUUCAG